AAAUGAUUAAAGGUUUUUGUUUGAUGAUUAUGAGGUUGUUGUUUCUAAUCAAAUACUCUUCAGGAAAUUACCACAGUGAGUAGUUUUAGAAACUAGAAAACACCACUUUGCGAAGAAAACAAAGUUUACCUUAAAUCUUCUCGAAUAAAUCGAAAUGACCCACUUGUAGCUGCAUUUCUAGAAAAUCGGUGAGUCUGACCCACUUGCGAGCACUGUUUCGCUUGUAGUGGAGUAAUUUAAUUUUUGAAAUGAUUUUUAUUCCAUCAUUAAUUUAUUUUGGCGGUGGCGUGAUAAAUUUCGCGAGUGGUAAAGUGGUAAAUGUAAAUCCCUUUUAUCCACGUGCUGGUGGCUCAGAGUGAGCGUUGCCAUCCUUUAUAUAAAACUCCUGUUGCUUCAAGUCUGGUUGUAUUCGCUGAAGCCAACUGUUUAGUGCACCAACUACCAUAAACCACCGCCGUAAUUAAUUGCCUGCUCGCUUGCGAUCCGCAAAGAUGGGGCCGUCCAACAACAUGAAAGCUAUUUGGCUCAUCAUUGCCCUUGUAACAUCGAUUGCGUUCGGAUUAUCUUUACACAAGCCACGGGCGAGUCUGAGUAAUGUGCGAAAUUUCGAUGAGCAGAUCCGAAUGGCUUACCAGCCGGAAGCUGAGGAACCGCUCCGGCCUGGAAGAUUUUUGGAAGACGACACCAGCGACGAUGGCUACGACUUUCACUUUUGAAAUAAACCGGUGAAUCACCCGGAGUAGGUGUCCCGGAAGUCUCGUCUGUUAAUUUAUUUCAUUGUUGUUUUAAAAAUGUGACUAUAAUUAUUUAUGUUUGCGGUUGCAAUAAAAUUUAUAAAAGACA